UACGUAGGGUGCGAGCGUUAAUCGGAAUUACUGGGCGUAAAGGGUGCGCAGGCGGUUAUAUAAGACAGAUGUGAAAUCCCCGGGCUUAACCUGGGAACUGCGUUUGUGACUGUAUAACUUGAGUGUGGCAGAGGGGGGUAGAAUUCCACGUGUAGCAGUGAAAUGCGUAGAGAUGUGGAGGAAUACCGAUGGCGAAGGCAGCCCCCUGGGUCAACACUGACGCUCAUGCACGAAAGCGUGGGGAGCAAACAGG
rnacentral:rRNA from 1 species